UACGGAGGAUGCGAGCGUUAUCCGGAUUUAUUGGGUUUAAAGGGUGCGCAGGCGGAAUGUCAAGUCAGCGGUAAAAUUUCGGGGCUCAACCCCGUCGUGCCGUUGAAACUGGCGUUCUUGAGUGGAAGAGAAGUAUGCGGAAUGCGUGGUGUAGCGGUGAAAUGCAUAGAUAUCACGCAGAACCCCGAUUGCGAAGGCAGCAUGCCGGCUUCCGACUGACGCUGAAGCACGAAAGCGUGGGGAUCGAACAGG
rnacentral:rRNA from 1 species